rnacentral:rRNA from 1 species
UCAUCAUGCCCCUUAUGUCUUGGGCUUCACGCAUGCUACAAUGGCCGGUACAAAGGGCUGCGAUACCGCGAGGUGGAGCGAAUCCCAGAAAGCCGGUCUCAGUUCGGAUUGGGGUCUGCAACUCGACCCCAUGAAGUCGGAGUCGCUAGUAAUCGCAGAUCAGCAACGCUGCGGUGAAUACGUUCCCGGGCCCGUU